rnacentral:rRNA from 1 species
UACGUAGGUGGCAAGCGUUGUCCGGAUUUACUGGGCGUAAAGAGCGCGCAGGCGGUCGUCCAAGUCGCGUGUGAAAGCCCCCGGCUCAACUGGGGAGGGUCACGCGAUACUGGUCGACUCGAAGGCAGGAGAGGGUAGUGGAAUUCCCGGUGUAGUGGUGAAAUGCGUAGAUAUCGGGAGGAACACCAGUGGCGAAGGCGGGUCUCUGGACAGUUCCUGGACGCUGAGGCACGAAGGCCAGGGGAGCAAACGGG